rnacentral:lncRNA from 1 species
UUUCCUAAAAGUUUAAUUUCUCUCACUUGCAGAUUAUUCUAAUUUUAAGUGCUGAAGAAAUUUUAAGAGGAAAAUAAAACUUUAUUUCAUUGUGAUUCAGUUUUGAGCCUUCUAAAAUAAGUAGUGAUUGUAUCCCUGGUAGGGGGAGUUAGGUGGUUAAUCAUGUUUGUAUGUGCAUUUCUGAUUUGGAAACAUUGCUUUACUUGAUUGCGGAGAAAGCUUGCAAAAAGAAAUGAAUGCUCCCCAACCUAUCGGAGGAUUGAGGGAAACUUGAGAAAUGUUGUUGCUUUACUUGUCAAGCCAUUGCAUCCUAAGCCUUCACCAAGUUCCAGAUCAAGAGUAGGAUGCUUAAAAAGAUGCAAUCUGUAAAGGUUAGGAAUCUUAUAUUGUUAAGAAAUUGGGACCAUAUGUAUUUCCUUGGUGUCUUUCAUACGCUAAACAAACACUAGAGAUGUUAAAAGAAUGAAGCAUCCGAUAGGUAGAAUAAUAGAAGCAUGUAACUGUAAAAUGUGUUAAUAAGUUAUAAAGAGGAAAUAUGUUUGUCACUAUCUGAGUCCAUGGUCCUAUGAUAACAGCAGAUGACAUUCAAAACAUGCUGACUGUUUCACUUUGAUGUUUGCAAAAUUGGACAACAGAACAGCCUUAUGCAACAUGAUGCAAUUUUAUAUGGGACUUGUACAUAUAACAUUAACUGUUUGAUAAAUAGGGCUUCUCAUGUUUUAUGUCAUUCUCCUGCAUGUGUGUCAUGGACUUCGUAUGAGACCUCACAUGGUUAAUUACACAAUAUCACUUGUAGGAUCUGUGCUGGGUGCAACUGCGAGAUUGGUCAUGGAAGAUAUUUGAGUUGCAUGGGUGCUGUUUGGCAUCCAGAAUGUUUUCGUUGCCGUGCUUGUGGGCUUCCCAUUUUUGAACAUGAGGUCCAAAUCCAGUUCAGAUUUAUUCUAGUUUUGGUCUGGCAUUGGCUAAUGAAAUGCUUGGAUCCAAAGCUGAUUUUCCAGUAAUUUUGGUGGUUCUAUGGAAUGCACUUGCUAAUUUUCAUUUUUUCCUUUCUUUGAUAGUUUUCUAUGUCCGGAAGUCAUCCUUAUCACAAAUCAUGCUACAAGGAACAAAAUCAUCCAAAAUGUGAUGUUUGCAGGAACUUUGUAAGUGUCAAUCCUAAGGCCGGACAACAUAACUUUAUAUUCUGCAAAAGCUAGUUCUAUUUAUCUCAUCUAUAUCCAGUAUGACUAUGGAAAGUAUUCUUUUGUUACCAGCUUUCAACAUCAUAUCAUGCCCUAGCAAUAUGAACUGUUCAGUAUAUAUUUUUUAGAUCGGUCUUUUCUCCUUUCUUUUUCCUUUCCUAAUAAUCUGAUAUCAUAGUAUUGCUUAGUGAUCAAAUGCUUCAUUAACAGAAACUCUAGACCGAGGAAAUGUAAAAUCUAAUACUCUCACCAAUUUUUUACCUGCAUUAAUAAGUACCAAGGAGCUGUUUGAAAAAUCAUAAAAUUGCCAGCCAAUUUUGACAUAGCUGAAAUCCGUUGUUCAUUUCUUUUCUGAUGGCACGGUAAGCAGACUGGCGUAAAAGAAAGUUUGAAAAUUAUGUCUCUUAAAGUGAAAAGUGUAAAUCAUUUAUGAUCAUUUUCCUGCUAUUCUUGUUGCUUUAGUUUAAAUAAGCUGGACCAUUCUCUGAAUUUCCAAGACUGGAUACAAGGUUGUUUGUGAAAGUAAUUGCAUAGGAGAAUGAAUGAAUCCUAAUGGUCUGUGGAAGGAUUUCAAUUACCUAUUUGUAGCAGAUAACCUCCAAAGUUAUCAUUUUGUCUAGAAUUGUUUGCACUGUCAAAAUAUCACUUCCCCUCCUUGUUUAGGUUUGCUGCUAAUAAAAAUGACAGAGUAGGGGAUCCCUGGAUGGAGGAGGAUGGGCAUGGUUUUUGGAAUCUUUGCCUUUUUUAAGGGCUUUCAUGACUGGGAGUUGGAGGCAGUUGGCACACUUUUUGGGCCCAUUCAUGAAGUGACUGUCCAAGGAUCAGAUAUGGAUAGAUUAAUGUGGAGGGAAGAGGAGAAUCGGAGCUUGUCCAUCAAGUCUUGUUAUUAUUCCCUUUCUGCUGAAUUCUUUGAGAAGUUUCCAGCUAAAGGGAUUUCUUGUUAUCAUUUCUCAAAAAAUUGACCAACUGAGUGGAUAUCUGUUUUUGGGGGGCAUUGGUCUUAGGAUGGGCUAAUACAAUCUACAUCCAUUCUCAUUUAGUGCUUCUUGGAUCCAGUCAAUGGCUUAUUCUUUACCACCAUUGCUAUCUUUUGACUGGAUUGGCUACUUAGUUCUAGUGCUUGUAAAAUAUAUUUUUCUUGCAGAUACUUCUAUAACUCAGGUUUUGAGUUAUGAAUAUUGUCUUCUAGUUUACCAUGAUUUUCUACAUUAUGAAACUAUUUUGAAUAAACUAGAUGUGCAAUGUAUAUUUGUUUCUUUUGUAUGUUUUUCACAAAUGAUACUGUAGCAUCAAUGUAUUUCUUUCCUUUUUGUACAGAUUCCAACAAAUGCAGCUGGACUUAUUGAGUAUAGAGCACAUCCGUUCUGGAUGCAAAAGUACUGUCCCUCACACGAGCAUGAUGGAACUCCUCGGUGUUGUAGUUGUGAAAGAAUGGAGGUUAGUUGGAAGAAGAUACAACCCCCCAUCCCACACACACUGAAGAAAUCUUCUUGUAGCUUGAUGAUAAACAACAGAUCUCUAAUUUUUCUUUUUUGGUAUUUCUUUAUGGAAAAUCUGCCAACCCAUGCAGGCAAGGGACACUAGAUAUCUAUCACUUGAUGAUGGUAGGAAACUAUGUCUGGAGUGUCUGGACUCUGCUAUCAUGGAAACUGUAGAGUGCCAGCCUCUUUACCUUGAAAUACAAGAAUUUUAUGAGGGUUUGAAUAUGAAAGUGGAGCAGCAAGUCCCUCUUCUCUUGGUUGAGAGACAAGCACUAAAUGAGGCCAUGGAGGGAGAAAAGAAUGUAAGGGCUAAUGCAUUGAAGUGAUCAUUUUUCAUAGCAACAGGUACUUUCUUGUCUUUUAUUUUAAGCUUCCAUCAAGUUUGAAUGUUCUCUUUAUUUUAUGGGCAGGGACAUCAUCACUUGCCUGAGACUAGAGGACUCUGCCUGUCCGAAGAACAGACUGUUAGCACUGUAAGGAUUUCGUUCUCAGAAAUCUAACGUCAAAUUUUGUUGUGUGAUAUACUUAGAGGAACGAAUUUGUUAGUGGAUUACAAAUGUAUGCUUAUGUCACUGUAAUGACCAGAUUUCGGGGAGGCCUAGGAUUGGCACAGGCUAUCGGAUUAUAGACAUGAUGACAGAACCUUAUAGGCUAAUCCGUCGAUGUGAAGUGACAGCAAUUCUCAUUUUGUAUGGGCUCCCAAGGUACAUCUCUUAUACCCUCUAUAGCAAAUUGUUUACUUGCUUUAGUAGUUUUGAUGCAUGUGGCAAAAACAACCUUCCUUGAAUACAGGUUGCUGACUGGGUCGAUCCUGGCUCACGAGAUGAUGCAUGCAUGGCUCCGACUGAAAGGUACUUUAUCUGUUCAGUGACAAAUGUUGCAUUGACAAUAGUUUCUAUUUAAGUUCUCUGAAAUAUGAUUAAUCCAUGUUCUUCAAAUAUUGCACUUCCUGUGUUUCCAUUCAUAAUGAGAAGCUAGAAAUUAAUAACCAAGUGUUUGGCAGGAUAUCCAAAUCUGAGUCAGGAUGUUGAAGAAGGCAUCUGCCAGGUGUUGGCUUAUAUGUGGUUGGAUUCAGAGAUAUAUUCAAGUGCUGGUAGUGAUGUUGCUUCGGCUUCUUCUUCUUCUUCAUCAUCAUCAUCAUCAUCAUCCUCAUCCACAACAUCAAAGAAGGGUGCACGGUCUCAGUUUGAGAAGAAACUUGGUGAGUUUUUCAAACACCAGAUAGAGACGGAUAGUUCACCAGCUUAUGGGGACGGAUUUAGAGCAGGUAACCAAGCAGUGCAGAAGUACGGCCUCAAGAGUACCCUUGACCAUAUUCGGCUGACAGGAAGCUUUCCUUACUGAGAGCUGACCAAUAACUCAGCCCUAUCAUCUUUUAGUUUUACAGGACCUAGACCCAACAUGAAUUAUGAACAUCACAAGAAUAAGUAAGCAGCUAAAUGCCGCUUCUCAUGCGCAAUUGCUGUAAUUCCCCAAUAGUGGGCGCCACAUAUUUUACUAUUUUGCCUAAUAAUUAAUAACAUAUAGGGAAAAAAAAGAAGUUAGAAUUGCUUAUGACAUUUCCUCUGUUCAACUAUUAGAAGCUUUGAUCCAUUGUGCAGAAGUACAUCUCACUGCUUGGGUAAGCCUCUAGAGAGGAAACAGCCCAGCCAUAAGUGAUGUAAUUAAGCAGCAAGUUUUCUACUGGUUUCAAUGUUUCAUCAUUUUAUACAGCAUACAACUCCAGUUAUUUCCAGCAACCAUUGGAAGCAUAAUGGAGAUAAUUUCAUUUAGUAGUAGAGGAACAUAUUUAUUUUCCCAGUUAUGAAGCCAACUCCGGUGCUCCUCUCUCUCUCUCUCUCUCUCUCUCUCUCCAGCUGAUCAUCCUCUUUGAGAAUAUUGAUGAGCUCUCUCCUCUUGAGAAAUUUCACCAAGUUGGGAGGAUUCUAAUAUUUCAUAUUUAUUAAUAGCACUUCAGUUUUCUGAAAUUAUUAUGACAUUGUCGGCUAAUGGGGUUAUGAUAUUGGUGAAAUGAAUUUAUUGCCCUUCAUUAAUUAAAUAUGUUCAUCAAAAUAUCAUAUUUUAGUGCAUUGGAAUAACUAGAAAAUACAGUGCUACAUAAUUGAAAAUUGAAAGGCCUCAAUCCUAAUCGCCUAGACAUGCCCACUAGUUAGCCUACCCCUUUAGGGAAAUACUCUCAGACCCGAUCUUUAGGAAUGAAUUUGGGAUUUUGAGAAUCUACCUUUGUGACCGACUAUGCCGCGUGUGGGCCUAAUCCCCUAUCCCUCUCAUCCACAUGGUGUUGCCAUUUGAAUAAUCCAAGAAAAAGGGGUUCGAUUUACGAGACACUUUCCCCCGUAGACAAUGAUAAUGAAAUUCAUACAAGUGUGAUUUGUGACGUGCGCAUGCGAAAUCCACGCAAUUUAAUUGCAAAAAGAAGGCAACUUUUCCGUGAGGGAGCAAUGCCACAACUUUUCUAAUUGUCUUUUGAGUGGGCUUGGCUGAGCCCCUGAACACGAUCAAAAUUGAAACAGUGCGCACAAGACCGUCCAUAUCUAUCACAAGGAAAGAUGGGGGCUCCAGGGAAAAGACAAAAUGGGUGGGCAAAACAGCCAUAUCAUGGGGAGGCGGCUUUCUAUGGUACAAAUUAUUUUGUAAGAGACUAGCAGUCAAAUUUAGAUGAUGGUAAAAGACACAAGCCUUGGGUGCUUGUUUCAGCGGAAGGGAGGUUCAGGCUAGAAUGGGGUGGGUGCGGUGGGCCAUAUGAAAAUGCUUUGUUAUAAGGAACUGCUUUCACCGUACUGGCUUCACCAAUGUUCAAAACAAGGAAAGAAUAAUAAAUAAAUACAAGUAUCGCCUGAACUGGAACAUCAAGGAGUCCAGCAAACAACGUCUGAACGUCAGACUCAUCAUGGGGUACUUAAUAGAAAAAACCCCAUUGAUCAAUGAAAAGGCGAGAGCAUGAUGAAUUAAGACACGGGGCAGGGAUCAUUGCAGUGCAUGGAAGUUCCUAUUUUCUUCUUCAAAAUAAGUUGAUUGAAAGAUAUGCAGUUAACUAGCCAAUUCAUUUUAAUUUUCAGAAAAUAAACAAGAGAUCAGUAGUUUGUCAAUUGUCACUAAGAGGUACGGACGCGAGGAAGAGGGAGAGAGUGGCAAAGCAGUGAAGACUUUUUGUCUCCACGAAGACGAAGACUUUGGGUUUUUUGACGCCUGGUGAAUUGGUAGUGGAGAAAUGGAAAGAAAAUGGACCCACAUGCAAAAAACGAAAAAGAAAAGAGAGAAAGUGUUACAGUUGUUGAUGCCCCUUUCCUCGGUCCUUCUGGUGGUUUUUAGGAAGGUAAGAUGAAGAAGCCACAAAUAAAACUUCAACUCUUGCAUUUUUCUUUCCUGCCCUUUUAGCGUGGAUGUGCGAAGGAUCCAAGUACUCUUCAUUUCAUUUCCUGCUUUUCCUUCUUUUUUUCCCUCUUCUUUUACUGGGAUAUUCAUCUGACUUCAUUUGUAAAACUUCUUCUCUGGAUUCAUGGCAGUUAAGGGUAUCAGGGAGACUAUCUACUCAGCUCUUUAAUCUUUCCUUGCUUACUUUGCCUUCAAGCCAUUUCUGGGAUCGACCGGAUUCCAUUUUGUCUGCAGAUUCUUACAGGUGACUUACUGACACAUGAUUUUGUGUGUGUGUCUUUCUUUCUCUCUCCAUUUUAGUGACUACUUUUGCAUACCAUGUCAAGAAUCUAGCAGGCAUAUCAAGCUGGUGAAAUCAAUUUCUUUCCUUUUUUCAAUCAUUUGAUUAUUAUUUGAUGGUGGUGGAGGGUGUUCUUAUAUGAAUAUGAAUAUCAGUGUUUGUGUUCUUGCCUCCUGUGCAUUGAUUUUCGCCUUGAUCAUGAAUAUUGCUUUUGUUUGGAUUAGAUUUAGGCACCCUUUUGUUGGAAUUCAGGUUUGGAAUGUAGGAAUUUGAAAUUCACAAGGUUUUAUUAAUCAUUCCACUAUCUUCUGACUCACUUAGGAGGCUUGAGUUCAGUUUCUUUGCUAGACUCUGCUAGAAUGGAUAAUUUUCAUUUGGAAUUUUCCCUCUUUCUUUUCCCUUUCCCCUUCUUUCUUUCCUCUCAAAAUAUAAUGAUUGAGGUUUGAGACUUGAUAUUGAUAUUUGUUUUCCAAUUUAAGUGCUUGUCAGGAUGCUUCUUUUGUGAUUGCAAUAUAAUCUUAAAUGUUCUUGCAAUCUUAUGUCUUUUUCACCUUCUUCAAAUCGGCGGGAAAGCCGUUGUUUCCCUAUGUUUGUAAUACCAGUCAUUCAUGUUCUUGAUGAACUUAUAAAAGAAUUAGAUCUAAAUAGAGGGUCAAAGUAAUCACUUUCAGUAUUCACGCAUAUAGCUAGCCAUGACAUUUUUUAUGGUGUUUCUUUUACCUAUGUAAAUGACUUGGGUGCAGGCAAGAUUUUGCUAGCCCACAAGGGAAUAACAUUUGUCCUUAUGGAUUGGAUCAAGAUCCUAGAAGGUUCUGGCCAUAAAAUCUCAGAAGUGCAAUAUCACGGGACAGAUGGGGAUGGCAUAAUUUGGGGAGAGCCUUCAAUUUCAGAGGUAAUUAAGGUUCCUGCUGUUUAAUGAUUACUUUUUUUAUAUCUUGUUCAUCAUUCAUAAGGUUGAUCUAGUUUGUUCUGUGAGAGUAGCAGCAUGGUAGGAUGAAAUUCACACUUCAGGUUAGUUAUGAAGCAGAGGAGCCUCUCUAAAAUUCCCUUUGUUACUUUACUACCUAGAUUUAUCCUAUGGAGUCCCUCCUGUGUUAACUUUAUGUUGUUGGGAAACUUGAAUGCAGGGUGCACCCACAGAUUUUGAUGAUCAAGAUAUCGCAGUUGCUAUUGUUCGUUCCAUUGAAGAUUAUGAAGCAGAGGAAGAUAAAAAACUGAAAAAGUUGGUUGGUAAGUCACACGGCUAUAGGGGGUGACAAUAAACAUUCAUGCCAGUAAUGCUGUUGGAAACUGCUAAUUACUCUUAUCCAACACGAUACAAUAUUACAGGUGCUUAGAAUUGUAGAAUAAAACAAAGUGUAACUAGGUACCUUUAGUAUUACUUUCUAUAUGUGCACUGGUGGUGCUUUUUCACCUUUCUGGGGAUCUUAAUUGAUACCUCAGGAUACUGUUCACUUCAUUCUCACUAAAUGAUCCUGUGUUUUGCAGAUAGAGUACAAAUAUUUCAGCUGUGUUUCUGUUUGUUUUGAUAAUUUUCAUUUUUAAUGCCAAUUAUAGUUAGAAUCUAUGCUUUGCUAGACAUCAUUCAACUGUUUUGGUAUAUAUUUCUCAUCUUGUACUCUUCAACCUGCAUUGAUGGGAUCUAGCAAACUAUUUCUGGCAGGCAGUAAUUGUACCCUGAUUCUUGUUGUGUUAGAUUAAUUUAAGGCACAUGUUCAAGACUCAUGUUGGUUGGUGCUUGACUUAUGAUCAUGUUCAAAUUGUUUUGCAUCAUGAAUAUGCUUCUAAAGGUCUGUCCUGGAUUGAAGUUUUAAUUGGCAAAAGAGAUGGUUUAACAUCGGUGUUUUUUUUUUUCUCUAUGCACUUUUCUGAGACUUGUAAGUUAAAAAUGAAGGUAUUUGCCUUAGGAACUUCGUGCAAACUUUUCUAACACUGUUAAAUGGAUAAGGUCCUUUACAAGGGAAUAUUCAAUAAUUAUUUCAUCACUGAAUGCAUCGUAUUUGUUUUUUUAUUUAUUUUAUUUUUUGGUCUAAUAGAGUAAAUAUUUCUAGUCUCUUAGUUUUUUUUUUUCUAUUUAUCUGUAAGAUAAUGAAUCUCAAUUAAAGGAAGAUGAACAACUUGCCAAAGCUCUUCAAGAGAGUUUGAAUAUGGAGUCUCCUCCUCGACGGGAUGCUCGAAAUAUAUUUCAACCUUUGACAUUCUCCUCACUUGGUUUUAGGUAUGUGCUGUUGCUUGUGAACCCUAUUCUAAAAGUUUAAUUUCUCACUUGCUGAUUGUUCUAAUUUUAAGUGCUGAAGAAAUUUCAAGAGGAAAAACAAAACUUCAUUUCAUUUUGAUUCAUUUUUGAGCCUUUCAAAAUAAGUAGUGAUUGUAUCUCUGGUAGGGGAGUUAGGUCAUGGGUGGGCACUCCUGUUUGAAUGUGCAUUUCUGAUUUGGAAACAUUGCUUAACUUGAUUGCUGAGGCAACUUACAAAAACAAAUGAAUGCCCCCCAACCUAUCAGAGGAUUGAGCAAAACUUGAGAAAUGUUGUAGCUGAAACAACUUUUGACUUCUAAAAAUGUCUUAGGUGGUGUUUGUUUUUUUGGCUUUUUGCUGAAAACCAUUUAGUUUUAGAAUUUAGGUUGUUUGUUUUUUUACUUUUUCAUGACUUAUUAUAAACUUUUUACUAAAUAGAAAAAGCCAAAAUAUGUGGCUUUUUCUAAAUAGAAAAAAUAACACAAUGAUUUUUUUUACUUUUUAAUACUUAAUAGAAAUAAAAUACUACAAAAACAAACAACCUAAUAAUUAAUACUAUUAAGUAUUAAGGUUCUAUUUAGAAUUAAGUAAAAAAACAAACACCACCUUAGUCUUCUUCAUGCUAACAUAUCUGCAUACAUUUGUGAAACAAGGCAAAUUUUGAUGGUGGUGCAAUUAUGGCUUCUAUGUUUAUGGUAAUUCCUUGAGUUUGAAAACAGGAUUGGCCUUCGACUUACAUGGUUAAAAUUCAAACAGUUGUACACACACACACACACACACACACACACACUUAUAUAUAUGUAUAUAUACAAUGGGAGGUAUUUGAGAGUUGAGAAACAGGGUUAACUAGUCAAGCCAUUGCAUCCUAAGACUUUACCAAGUUCCAGAUCAGAAUAGGAUGCUUAAAGGGAUGCAAUAUGUAAGGGUUAGGAAUCUACUAUUGUUCAAAAAUUGGGGCCAUAGGGGUUUCCUUGGGUGUCUUUCAUAGACUAAACAAACACUAGAGAUGUUAAAACAAUGAAGCAUCCAAUAGGUAGAAUAAUAAAAAAGUGUAAUGUAAAAUGUGAUAGCAAGUUAUAAAGGUGGGAAAUAUGUUUAUCUGUCACUAUCUGAGCCUGCUGCACUAUGAUAACAACAGAUGAAAUGCAAAACAUGUUGAGGCUGUUUCACUUUGAUGUCAGCAAAAUUGGACGACAAAACAACCUUUUCCAACAUGGUGGAAUUUUGUAUGGGACUUGUACAUUUAACAUUACCAGUUUCAUAAAUGGUGCUUCUCAUAUUUUUUGUCAUUUUCCUGCAUCAGUUUCAUAGACAUCAUAUGAAACCUCACAUGGAUGAUUACACAAUACCAUUUGUAGGAUCUGUGCUCGGUGCAACCUUGAAAUUGGUCAUGAAAGACAUUUGAGGCGCAUGGGUGCUGUUUGGCAUCCAGAAUGUUUUCGUUGUCAUGCUUGUGGUCUUCGCAUUUUUGAUCUUGAGGUCCAAAUCCAGUUCAGAUUUAUUCUAGUUUUGGUCUGACAUUGGCUAAUGAAAUGCUUGGAUACUAAGCUGAUUUUCAACUAAUUUUGGUGGUUCUAUGGAAUGCACUUGCUUAUUUUCAUUUUUUUCCCCCUUUGUU